GACAGAGGGUGCAAACGUUGCUCGGAAUUACUGGGCGUAAAGCGCGUGUAGGCGGGUCGGCAAGUCGGGCGUGAAAUCCCCAGGCUCAACCUGGGAACUGCACUCGAAACUUCCGGUCUAGAGUGGUGGAGAGGGAAGUGGAAUUCCGGGUGUAGCGGUGAAAUGCGUAGAUAUCACUUGGAACGCCAAUGGUGAAAACAGCUCGCUGGGGAUGUGCCGACGCUGAGACACGAAAGCCAGGGGAGCGAACGGG
rnacentral:rRNA from 1 species